UAACUGCGUGCAGACGUGUGAACUGCAGGACACAUGAACACCGACGUUUCGAACGCAAAUGGCGGUCUAAAGUAAAUUUUAGACCACGUCUGGCUGAGGGUCGGAUUUGAAAUAAAAACCAAAGUUACUCCAACUAAUGGCAUACUUUAUGUAUCUUUACGGAUAUGAUGUUGCCUGUUGGGUUUCAGUUUCAUCGCUGGGUUUUACAGCCCAGUUAGAAUUGUUGGUAUCCUUAUGGAAGCUCUGUUUAAUUACAUUGCUAGCUAAUUUGAAAAAAGUUAUGACAAUUUAGCGGUGAAAUCCCGCCAAGUCGAAUAAUAAUUGGCGAAAACAUUUGAUACCACUAUAUAUAUUUGAAUAUAUCAAACAUACGACCUCAGAGUAGGCGAGAUUACCCGCU
rnacentral:misc_RNA from 1 species